CAUUGUCCGUGUGGACGGCAGUGAGGAGGAGAGCUCCAGACUGCAGGGACACCCUGGAGUACAGUGGGCAGCAUCCGUCUCCUUGAUGAAGGGAAGGUGUCAAUGGGCUGGAACUGGUUGAGAGAAGGUUCACCAGGCUGAGACCUGGAACAGCUGGGACUGGGGGUCCCCCUCCCACUGUGAACGGAACUGUGGGAUGCCUGGUCUCCUUACCUCCCGGGAUCCCAGUUGGACCGGACGUUGCUGAGGUUGAGUGGAGACGGACAUCACCCAGAACCAAGUUAGCACAAUACUCAAAGGAGGACAUUGAAUACUUCGGUUCUGACGAGUACAAGCGACGAGUAACUCUUCAUCGCGGGGACUUCAGUCUGGAAAUCUGUGAUCUGCGGAGAGAGGACGCUGGUGAUUAUGAGGUGACUGUUACAGUGAGUUCAGGAGCACAGACUCGGGCAACAGUCCGACUGGAGGUGUCCGAGGAACGUCCUUUUAUUCUGAGGCUGUGCCCUCUGUUUUGAGACUCUCCCACCACUGGAAACAUCCUCUCCAUGUCCACUCUAUCCAGGCCUUUCAAUAUACGGCAAGUUUCAAUGAGAUCUCCCCUCCUCCUUCUAAACUCCAGUGAGUACAGGCCCAGAGCCAUCAAAUGCUCCUCAUGCCUUUCAUUCUUGUAAACCUCCUCUGGACCCUCUCCAAUGCCAGCACAUCCUUCCUUAGAUAUGGCGAGACUCUUUUGGUGGCGCUAGAUGGAGUAGGUCAUAUCUUGGCUCUGCUCUACUCACCUUGUACACCAGCCUUUAGUAAGACUUUUAUAACACUUUUACAAGACUGAAUUUGAUUUUUAAUUGCUGGAAAUGAAAACCAGAGCUAAAGCUGCAGCUGAUAGCAAGGGUAAUGGAGACCCUCAACUCACUUUGGAAGCUCUUUCUAAACUGGAUAAAAAGCUUGACCAGAGAUUUGCUACUUUGGAAACGUUGCUAAAGGAGAUCGAAGACAGACAAACUACACUCAUACAGGAGAAUGCUCAACAACAGCAAUUAAUUGCUGAACUGGAUGAAGCUGGCAAAGAGAGGGAUCGCAGACUGAGCUUACUGGAAGAAGAUUUAACUGUGACCAUCCAGAGUCUGGAACAGCAAAGACAGAGGAUUACUGAUUUGGAAAACCGCAGUCGGAGAAAUAAUUUGAUGGGCAUUGGCUUUCCUGAAGACGCUGAAGCUGGUAAUCCUACUGAAUUCUUCUCCAAACUUCUGAUGGAUGUGUUUGGCUCUGAAGUUUUCUCUGAACGUCCCAUACUUGAUCGUGCUCAUCGAACGUUAAGACCAAAACCCCCGGCAGAGCAAAAACCACGGCCAGUAAUACUGAGAUUUCAUUAUGUGAGUACCAAAGAACAUUUGAUUUGAAUCGCUUGUCAUCGAGGAAUGAUCCAAUAUAAAGAUUGGAAGUUUCGUCUGGUUGAAGAUUACAGCCCAGAAGUUAUGAAAGAGAGACUGCGUUAUCAACUAAUUGUGUCGUGACUCCAUCAAGGGAACUCUCAUCCUGCAUUAGUGUUCCCUGCAAGCUUGAGGAAUGUACUCCCCGAUAAAUCACACCGAUGGUUUAAUUGUGUCAAGGAAGCCGAAGAAUUUCUUCAAGAUUAACUUUUGACUUCAGGUGGUAAAGAAAUGUGCUACUCUUUGAUUUUUAUAUCUAUUUGGUCUAUUAGGUAAUAAUUAACUUACAGACUUCAGUGCUUUUUAAGUUCAGAGAUAUUUUUCCUGCCCUCUGUUAACACUUUUGUGCUUGGAUCUGGAACAUGGAUACUUACCAUAUCUCUACUUAAUAUUUCUUUCUGUUUUUAUUAUUUUACUUUAAUAUUUUUAAUGCUUUGUUUUGGUAAUAAUUGAGAAGCUGAUUGAGUGACUGAUGGCUUUUUUUUCCUUUUGAAAUAAUAGUAAGAUUGUAUUCUUUAAAUGUCGAUUGUCGGUAUUCUUGUUUGUGUAGAACUCUGUUAGCAAGUCUGUUUACAUUUCAAAAUUCUUGUUUUCUCAUGUUUCGACUAACGGUGGUGUUUUGCAUUCCUCUUAACUUGGAGAUUUGCCACCAAAAGAGCUGGGGUUAAGUAACUUAAGUGGGUGGCAUUCUGGCUGUCUAUUGGCCAGUUUUUGGACUUGGGUGGGUGGGGCUGUUUUUAGGUUAGUUGUGUUUUUCCUCUGGACUCAUAAACUACAAAUAUGCCUGAAUUGUUGUCAUAUCCAGCUCCUCUUUGAAUUUUUUUUUCCUCUUCCUGGUUAGGAGUCUCCUGUGCAAUAAGGUUAACCCUUUACAUACCAUAUGUUUUUAGUCUGUUAAAAUGGAUAAGAUGAUUAGUUUUGUUUCAUGGAAUACAAACGGUUUAAAUAAUCCAAUUAAGCGCAAGAAGAUCUUUAAAGUUUUUCAUAGACUGAACACUAAGAUUAUUUUUGCACAAAAGGCUCAUAUUAGGAGACAGGAUAAUCAGCACUUUUUUAGAUUUUGGAGGGGUCAACAGUUUCAUUCUAAUUCGCAAGCAAAGGUGAAAGGGGUCUCUAUUUUUGUAGACUUCUCAAUUUCGUUUGUUCAUCAUGAAACAAUCUCAGACGCAAAUGGUAGAUUUCUAUUAAUUACUGGCUUCAUAAAAAAAAGUGGUUAUGGUUAAUGUCUAUGCACCGAAUGUUGAUCAUCCCAAGUUUUUUAAACAUUUAUUUGCAUCUGUUCCUAAUUCAAACAAAUAUACGGUGAUUAUGGGUGGAGAUCUCAAUUGUUGCUUAAACCUUUCAAUGGAUAGAUCUGUGUCGAAUCACAUACUUCCAAACAAAUCCGUUGUCUUUAUUAAUUCUUUCUUAGUUGAUUCUGGAAUUUUAGAAGUUUGGAGAUUUCUAAACCCAUAUGAUAAAGAGUUUUCGUUCUUUUCUUAUGUUUAUCACAACUACUCCAGGAUUGAUUCCUUUUUUAUUGACUCGCGAUUAGCUCCAUCUGUUAUUGACUGUAAGUAUGAUGCAAGUGCCAUUUCUGAUCAUGUGCCAUUGAAACUAUCAACUAAAUCAGCAGACGUACCCUCUGGUGUCAGACAAUGGCGACUCAAUUCUUCUCUAUUGCAGGAUUUAGACUUUGUUCAUUUUAUUAAAGAACAGAUUUCCUUUUCCUUCUCAACUAACUUUACGGAAGAAAUUUCCAGUGGGAUAUUAUGGAAUACCUUUAAAGCUUAUAUCUGUGGUCAAAUUAUUUCAUACUCUGCUGGAUUGAAAAAAUGAACUGAUAAUGAAUUACAUAUAUUGGCUGAUAAGAUCAAGAAAUUGAUAUAAAAAAAUACUCUGAUGCUCCUAAUUUGGAGUUCUAUAAAAAGAGAACUGAACUUCAAGUACAACACAGUUCAUCCAAUUGAAAAUCAAUUACUUAAAACCAGGAGUCAGUUUUAUAUACAUGGUGAUAAAUCUGGUAAAUUGUUGGCCAACCAACUGAAAGCUGCUUCAACUAAAUGUCAGAUUAUUAAAGUUUGUAAACAAGAUGGUAAUUACACGGUGGACCAUGAUUAAAUUAAUAAAUCUUUUCAGGAAUCUUAUACUUUAUAUCAAUCAGAAUUUCCUGAGGAUCCUACAUCAAUGCAUGAAUUUUUAAGGAAUUUGAAGGCUCCGAAAUUAUCACCUAAUGAAUGUUCAAUAUUAGAUGCAGCCAUUUCAGAGGAAGAAAUAAAGAAAGCAAUUUCUUCAAUGAAUUCAGGUAAAACACCUGGUCUUGAUGGGUAUACAGUGGAAUUUUUAAAAUCCUUUUCUGAUCUUCUCUCUCCCUGGUUAGGUAAAAUUUUUAAAGAUGCCCUAUCAGCAGGUAAAUUACCACAAUCCUUUUAUGAAGCAACUAUCUCUUUAAUUCUGAGAAAGGAUAAAGAUCCCACUGAAUGUGCAUCUUGCAGACCUAUUUCUUUAUUGAAUGUGGAUUCCAAAAUUGUUUCCAAAAUAUUGGCUUCUAGACUGGAAAAGGUACUUCCACAAAUUAUUUCUGAUGACCAGACAGGAUUUGCAUUUUAAUAUUAUGGAGGUUAAUGAAUAUUGUAUAUACCCCCUCAUCUACAAUCCCAAAAUGUGUUAUCUUGCUUGAUGCCGAGAAGGCGUUUGAUAGAGUUGAAUGGCAAUAUUUAUUCAACACGCUUGAGAAAUUUAAUUUUAGCCCAAAUUUUAUUUCCGCGAUUAAAUUGAUUUACCAUACACCUAUGGCUUCAAUACUUACUAACAAUCAGAAAUCCCCCUUUUUCAGGCUUUUUCGAGGCACUAGGUAGGGCUGCCCUUUAAGUCCUUUAUUAUUUGAUAUUACCAUGAAACCCUUGGCAAUUGCCUUUUGGGACUCUUCUAACAUAUUUGGUAUCACACGUGGAAAGGGGAUGCAUAAGAUAUCACUAUAUGCAGAUGACCUGUUACUCUAUAACUCUAACCCGGAGAAAUCCAUCUCUGCAGCAUUACCAGUGCUUGCUCAGUUUAGUGUUUUCUCUGGUUAUAGAUUAAAUCUUAAUAAGAGUGAGCUUUUGCCAUUAAAUAUGCAAGUUCCAAUAUAUAGGGAAUUACCAUUUAGGUUAGUGACUGAUUAUUUUACAUAUCUGGGUGUUAAAAUUACCAAGAAGCAUAAGGACUUAUUCAAGGUUAACUUUUUACCUUGAAUUGAUCAGGUUAAACAAUUGUUUACUAAAUGGUCCCCAUUGUCUCUAUCAUUGAUUGGCCGAAUUAAUGCAGUUAAGAUGAAGAUUUUACCAAAAUGUUUGUAUUUAUUUCAGGCGGUUCCAACUUUCAUCUUGAAAUCCUUUUUUGAUACUAUUGAUUCUAAACUUCUUUCAUAUAUAUGGCAGAAUAAAAACCCAAGGUUAAGUAAGAAAUAUUUACAAAAAUUAAAAAAGGAUGGUGGCAUGGCUUUGCCUAAUUUUAGAUUUUACUAUUGGGCAAUUAAUGUUAGAUACUUUAUUUUCUGGGCGCAAGAUUUAGAUGUAAUUCAAUGUCCUCGAUGGGUGUAUCCUGAGUAUGAAUCAGUGCAAGGAUUUUCAUUAGCUUCUAUUUUAGGAGCCUCACUCCCUUUUGCACUUACUAAAUUGAGUAAACAAAUGAUUACCCCAAUAGUUAAACAUACAAUAGGAAUAUGGUUUCAAUUUUGUAAAUUUUUUGGAUUGAAUAAAUUCAUUUUAUCAAGUCCUAUCCAAUCCAAUUUUUUCUUUCAACCAUCUCGAAUUGACUUAGCUUUUUCUUUAUGGAAAAUGAAGGGAAUAACAUGCUUUCGUGAUUUAUUCAUUGAUAACUGUUUUAUGUCUUUUGAACAGUUGUCUAAUAAAUACAAUUUGCCUAGA